rnacentral:misc_RNA from 1 species
UACGGAGGGUGCAAGCGUUGUCCGGAUUUAUUGGGUUUAAAGGGUGCGUAGGCGGAUUGAUAAGUCAGUGGUGAAAGGCAACGGCUCAACCGUUGAGUUGCCAUUGAUACUGUGAGUCUUGAGUGCACUAGAGGUAAGCGGAAUUUAUGGUGUAGCGGUGAAAUGCAUAGAUACCAUAAAGAACACCAAUAGCGAAGGCAGCUUACUAGAGUGUAACUGACGCUGAGGCACGAAAGCGUGGGGAGCGAACAGG